AGAGGGCGAGGUGGAGGAUGCUGCGUGAAGCCUUGUAAGGGCCUUGGUCCCCGUCAUGAGGGAGCAGCCGCCAGGCCUCAUCACCUCUCGAUACCGUCACGGUGGUAACACCUGGGUUUUGGAGGGGCCAUUCACACCUUUGCAUUCUGUACCUAGCCCCCAAAAUUCAUGUCCUUCCCACAUGCAAAAGAGCAUCAUUCCAUCCCAGUAUCCCCCAUGCGAGCUCGUUCCAGCACUGGCCUUUAAGUCUAAAGUCUCAUCCAGACACCACAAGGGUGCUGGGCAUGGCGGUGGUGCCUGUAAUCCCAGCUACUUGGGAGGCUGAGGCAGGAGGAUCGCUUGAGUGCAGGAAGUCUGGGCCCCUCAGGUGUCCACACUAAGUUCGGAUCUAUAUGGUGAUCUCCUGGGAGCGGGGGACCACCAGGUUGCCUAAAGCGGGAUGAACCAGCCCAGGUGGGAAACAGAGCAGGUCAGAGCUCUCGUGCUGAUCAGUAGUGGGAUUGCACCUGCGAAUAGCCACCCCACUCCAGCCUGGGCAACACAGUGAGAUCCCAUCUCUUAAAACAUCACAUGGGCGAGACUCAAGACAUGUUUUGUCCUGAGGCCAAUUGCCCCCACCCCCCACUAUGAGCUGUGAAAUCAAACAAGUUAUUCACUUCCAAAAUACAAGGGUGAGACAGGCAUAGGACAGACAUUUCUACUUUGAAUGAGAGAAACAGGAAAGAAGAAAGGGGUCACUGGUCCCAAGUAAGAGUCCAAAACCCAACAGACAGACAACAUUACAUCUGAAGCCUUGAGAAUAAUCUCUUUGACUCCAUGUCCCACCUUCUAGACGCACCAGGGUGGGGGCUGGACCCCGAGCCUCGGGCAGUAGCGCCCCCAGAGCUUUGCUGGGCUCAGUCCAGGCAGCCGUUCUCAUGGGCUGAAGUUUCGUGCCUGCAACUCUCCAGGGCUGGUGGAUCUAUAGGUCUGGAGUCUCGGCGGUGGGCACCCAUCUGCUGCUCCCUCCCUGCUUCCCACACCUGCCCAGGCUCAGGGCUCUGCUGACACCUUUGGCUCAGGACUGGCAUCGGGGUUUCUCCAGGAGGAGAGAGCUGCAUGUACAGGACAUCGUCUGGCCAUAGCUGGUCGCAGCACCUGGCAGGCACAGAUGUGUGUUCAUUGAGAAGGGGAAGGAUUGGAGAGACUAAGGAAUGACUGAGGGCGUGCUGUGGUCACUUUCAGAUGGCAGCCUUCAUGAUGGUCUUUGCUCAUCGCUGCCUCGCACAUUCUCAGGGUGGUGCUGAUGUGUAGCAGGUGCUAACACAGGUUGGUGGGGAUGACUGGAAGGAGGAGUGUGUCUGGCCACUCAGAAGGCAGAGGCACAGCAGGCGUUUGGGCUCAGGCCAGCCUCUGCGGCCUUGAACGGUUCUCCCGUGUCUGCGCAU
rnacentral:lncRNA from 10 species